AUUGAACGCUGGCGGCAGGCCUAACACAUGCAAGUCGAACGAGUGGCGGACGGGUGAGUAAUGUCUGGGAAACUGCCUGAUGGAGGGGGAUCACUACUGGAAACUGUAGCUAAUACCGCGUACCAUCAGAUGAGCCCAAAUGGGCUUAGCUUGUUGGUGGGGUAACGGCUCACCAAGCCGACGAUCCCUAGCUGGUCUGAGAGGAUGACCAGCCAGACUGGAACUGAGACACGGUCCAGACUCCGACGUGGAACAGGAGUGUGGAAUAUUGCGCAAUGGGGGCAAGCCUGAUGCAGCCAUGCCGCGUGUAUGAAGAAGGCCUUCGGGUUAUAAAGUACUUUCAGCGGGGAGGCGUUAACUGCAGAAGAAGCACCGGCUAACUCCGUGCCAGCAGCCGCGGUAAUAC
rnacentral:rRNA from 1 species